GACGAACGCUGGCGGCGUGCUUAACACAUGCAAGUCGAGCGGUAAGGCCCUUUCGGGGGUACACGAGCGGCGAACGGGUGAGUAACACGUGGGUGACCUGCCCUCAGCUCUGGGAUAAGCCUGGGAAACCGGGUCUAAUACCGGAUAUGACUCCAUGACGCAUGUUGUGGGGUGGAAAGCCUUGUGCGGCUGAGGAUGGGCCCGCGGCCUAUCAGCUUGUUGGUGGGGUGANGGCCUACCAAGGCGACGACGGGUAGCCGGCCUGAGAGGGCGACCGGCCACACUGGGACUGAGACACGGCCCAGACUCCUACGGGAGGCAGCAGUGGGGAAUCUUGCGCAAUGGGCGAAAGACCUGACGCAGCGACGCCGCGUGAGGGAUGACGGCCUCGGUUGUAAC
rnacentral:rRNA from 1 species